UACAGAGGGUGCGAGCGUUAAUCGGAGUUACUGGGCGUAAAGGGCGUGUAGGCGGUUAUGUAAGUGAGCUGUGAAAUCCCUGGGCUUAACCUAGGAACUGCAGCUUAUACUGUAUGACUGGAGUACUGUAGAGGGUAGUGGAAUUUCCGGUGUAGCGGUGAAAUGCGUAGAGAUCGGAAGGAACACCAGUGGCGAAGGCGGCGACCUGGACCUGUGCUGACGCUGAGGCGCGAAAGCGUGGGGAGCGAUCCGG
rnacentral:rRNA from 1 species